rnacentral:rRNA from 1 species
UAGAGUUUGAUCCUGGCUCAGAUUGAACGCUGGCGGCAGGCCUAACACAUGCAAGUCGAGCGGUAGCGGGCCUGACCGCUCUCGAGUGGUUCAGGUGCCGACGAGCGGCGGACGGGUGCGUAACACGUAGGAAUCUGCCCGGUAGUGGGGGAUAGCCCGGAGAAAUUCGGAUUAAUACCGCAUACGCCCUAUGGGGGAAAGCAGGGGAUCUUCGGACCUUGCGCUAUCGGAUGAGCCUGCGUCGGAUUAGCUGGUUGGUGGGGUAAAGGCCUACCAAGGCGACGAUCCGUAGCUGGUCUGAGAGGAUGAUCAGCCACACUGGGACUGAGACACGGCCCAGACUCCUACGGGAGGCAGCAGUGGGGAAUAUUGCACAAUGGGCGAAAGCCUGAUGCAGCCAUGCCGCGUGUGUGAAGAAGGCCCUAGGGUUGUAAAGCACUUUCAGUGGGGAGGAAAGGUCGAAGGUUAAUACCCUUUGGCUGUGACGUUACCCACAGAAGAAGCACCGGCUAACUCCGUGCCAGCAGCCGCGGUAAUACGGAGGGUGCGAGCGUUAAUCGGAAUUACUGGGCGUAAAGCGUGCGUAGGCGGCCAUUUAAGUUGGAUGUGAAAGCCCCGGGCUCAACCUGGGAACUGCAUCCAAAACUGGGUGGCUUGAGUGCGAGAGAGGAGUGUGGAAUUUCCUGUGUAGCGGUGAAAUGCGUAGAUAUAGGAAGGAACACCAGUGGCGAAAGCGACACUCUGGCUUGACACUGACGCUGAGGUACGAAAGCGUGGGGAGCAAACAGGAUUAGAUACCCUGGUAGUCCACGCCGUAAACGAUGUCUACUAGUUGUCGGUGGUCUUGUACUGCUGGUAACGCAGCUACGCGAUAAGUAGACCGCCUGGGGA